AUUGAACGCUGGCGGCAUGCUUUACACAUGCAAGUCGAACGGCAGCGCGGGGGCAACCCUGGCGGCGAGUGGCGAACGGGUGAGUAAUGCAUCGGAACGUAUCCUGUAAUGGGGGAUAACGUAGCGAAAGUUACGCUAAUACCGCAUACGCUCGAGAGAGGAAAGUGGGGGAUCGCAAGACCUCACGUUAUAGGAGCGGCCGAUGUCCGAUUAGCUAGUUGGUGGGGUAAAGGCCUACCAAGGCGACGAUCGGUAGCUGGUCUGAGAGGAUGAUCAGCCACACUGGGACUGAGACACGGCCCAGACUCCUACAGGAGGCAGCAGUGGGGAAUUUUGGACAAUGGGCGAAAGCCUGAUCCAGCCAUGCCGCGUGCGGGAAGAAGGCCUUCGGGUU
rnacentral:rRNA from 1 species